CAGCACCUCAAGUGGUCAGGAUGAUUAUUGGGCCUAAAGCAUCCGUAGCCGGCGCUGUAAGUUUUCGGUUAAAUCUGUACGCUCAACGUACAGGCUGCCGGGAAUACUGCAGCGCUAGGGAGUGGGAGAGGUAGACGGUACUCGGUAGGAAGGGGUAAAAUCCUUUGAUCUAUUGAUGACCACCUGUGGCGAAGGCGGUCUACCAGAACACGUCCGACGGUGAGGGAUGAAAGCUGGGGGAGCAAGCCGGAUUAGAGACCCGAGUAGUCC
rnacentral:rRNA from 1 species